AUUGAACGCUGGCGGCAGGCUUAACACAUGCAAGUCGAGCGGUAACAGGAGAAGCUUGCUUCUCGCUGACGAGCGGCGGACGGGUGAGUAAUACUUAGGAAUCUGCCCAGUAGUGGGGGAUAGCUCGGGGAAACUCGAAUUAAUACCGCAUACACCCUACGGGGAAAAGGGGGCACUUGUGCUCUCGCUAUUGGAUGAGCCUAAGUCGGAUUAGCUAGUUGGUGGGGUAAAGGCCUACCAAGGCGACGAUCUGUAGCUGGUCUGAGAGGAUGAUCAGCCACACCGGGACUGAGACACGGCCCGGACUCCUACGGGAGGCAGCAGUGGGGAAUAUUGGACAAUGGGGGCAACCCUGAUCCAGCCGUGCCGCGUGUGUGAAGAAGGCCUUUUGGUUGUAAAGCACUUUAAGCAGUGAAGAAGACUCUAUGGUUAAUACCCAUAGACGAUGACAUUAGCUGCAGAAUAAGCACCGGCUAACUCUGUGCCAGCAGCCGCGGUAAUACAGAGGGUGCAAGCGUUAAUCGGAAUUACUGGGCGUAAAGCGAGCGUAGGUGGCUUGAUAAGUCAGAUGUGAAAUCCCCGGGCUUAACCUGGGAACUGCAUCUGAUACUGUUAGGCUAGAGUAGGUGAGAGGGAGGUAGAAUUUCAGGUGUAGCGGUGAAAUGCGUAGAGAUCUGAAGGAAUACCGAUGGCGAAGGCAGCCUCCUGGCAUCAUACUGACACUGAGGUUCGAAAGCGUGGGUAGCAAACAGGAUUAGAUACCCUGGUAGUCCACGCCGUAAACGAUGUCUACUAGUCGUUGGGGAACUUGAUUCCUUAGUGACGCAGCUAACGCAAUAAGUAGACCGCCUGGGGAGUACGGCCGCAAGGUUAAAACUCAAAUGAAUUGACGGGGGCCCGCACAAGCGGUGGAGCAUGUGGUUUAAUUCGAUGCAACGCGAAGAACCUUACCUGGUCUUGACAUAUCUAGAAUCCUGCAGAGAUGCGGGAGUGCCUUCGGGAAUUAGAAUACAGGUGCUGCAUGGCUGUCGUCAGCUCGUGUCGUGAGAUGUUGGGUUAAGUCCCGCAACGAGCGCAACCCUUUUCCUUAGUUACCAGCGGUUUGGCCGGGGACUCUAAGGAUACUGCCAGUGACAAACUGGAGGAAGGCGGGGACGACGUCAAGUCAUCAUGGCCCUUACGACCAGGGCUACAUACGUGCUACAAUGGUAGGUACAGAAGGCAGCUACACAGCGAUGUGAUGCGAAUCUCAAAAAGCCUAUCGUAGUCCAGAUUGGAGUCUGCAACUCGACUCCAUGAAGUCGGAAUCGCUAGUAAUCGCGGAUCAGAAUGCCGCGGUGAAUACGUUCCCGGGCCU
rnacentral:rRNA from 1 species